UACGAAGGGGGCUAGCGUUGCUCGGAAUCACUGGGCGUAAAGGGCGCGUAGGCGGCCGAUUAAGUCGGGGGUGAAAGCCUGUGGCUCAACCACAGAAUUGCCUCGAUACUGGUUUGGCUUGAGACCGGAAGAGGUACGCGGAACUGCGAGUGUAGAGGUGAAAUUCGUAGAUAUUCGCAAGAACACCAGUGGCGAAGGCGGCUUGCUGGUCCGGUUCUGACGCUGAGGCGCGAAAGCGUGGGGAGCAAACAGG
rnacentral:rRNA from 1 species